CUAGCUUCCCGACCCCCACUAGCUUCAUGGGACUCGUCUGAAGUCUGUACUGACUGUGCCAACUUUUGUCUGUAGAAUCUGAACUCUUUGAGCUACAAACUAUUAUGAGGGAGUGAGUGAGAGGAAGAGAGCUGCUGGGCACGUCUGCACCUCCAUCGUAGGAAAAAGUCGGGGUGUUAAUACUUUAUGAAUGCACAUAAAAUACUAUCUGAAGGUAAAAGUGUCAUAUUAAAGUGGCAAUCUGCAGUUGCUUGAUACAUUUUUGGACUCAUAAAUCAAUUAUAUAUGCCAAUUUGAUUCCUCGAGAAUACAACUUAUAAAUGCCUCAUGAGCUUAGUUCAACUGUUCUACCCCAUCAUGAAUCCUAAAUCUAAAAUUGUUUUACUCCAAUAUUUGUAAACAACAUACAUUUAAGCAACACUGUAUAGCCUCAAAACAUGGUUAAAACUAUCAUUUUGAUAUAAUGGUCCUUGCAAGCCAUAGCUCGGUCUAUGAAUUUAAAAGUGAUUACAUUUCUGGAGGCCCAUCCCUCAGCUUUUAAUCAAAACAGAGGCGGGGUUGCGGCUUUGUUGUUGUUUCAACUGCGGAUUCUAGUUUUAACAUAAUGAAUAUGGCAUCCUAUUCAUAGGGCUAAUGAUAAGUUCCAAUCAACCAUGGAUGUAUGAUAGUAUACCUUUGGGCAAAUCAGAUGUCAAUAGCCUACAUAAACCUAAUCUCACUCCAAAUGUACUUUCACAUACAGCUUGUGUAAUAACAGUCAGUUAGGCUACUUUCAACUAUUCAACGUUAUUUAGGUAGUCUACGCAAAUGAGUAGGGAAGCUGAUCAAUGUCUAAAUAUUAUGAGACAUGUCAAAAUGCUGAAUUUUGGCACUUUGUCAAGUCUUAUUCAUAUUUAAAAAAAAUCAAAUUUUAUUUCAUUCAUUUAAACAGGCUUUUUAAUUGGUGCACAAGUUCAACUUUAAAUAUCAAAGGGAUGCAAAGGGACUCAUUUUGUGGAACAACCCAUCACUUUUAUGGCUGGCAACUAAUGUGACACACACACACACACACACACACACACAUCCACUCACACUGAGCCUCCUCCGACAUCUCCCCAUCAUCACUGGCUGACAUGACAUAAAGGACUGUACAUACCAAUACCAAGUGUAUAACCAUUUUUACAUGAUCAACUGCCAAAACAGAGUCUCUGUUAGCUGGAAGUUCUAGUGUAGCUCGUUGUAGGUCAGAGCUGUUGGGUAAACAGUACAAGAUGUCCCCUAGGGAGAUGGGAUGCCACUGUAUUCUAACACACAGAAGAAGUGUACAGACCAGCUAUCUAAGUAUAGCAGAUCAACAUUUAGUUAAACUAGAAAGACCUGGUUGAAAUGACCUGGUCUACGUAGUGUUGUGCUGUACAGUGUUGUCUAGAUAUUGGGAGGUAGGGUUUAGGUUCUUUGUACAUUUUGACACGUCUGCGCUGCACAGUAAAACAGCAAUGCAGUGUGGAGCAGUAAGGCCUCUUGCCAAAUGAUCCCGUCUAUACCAAUACGCCAAUGUCAUAUUUGUGACAUUUACUGUUGUGUUGUUGUUAUUAUAAUAUUAUUGCGUUGUUUUUUAGCUAGAUUUGGGUGUAGGGAACACACCUGUUUUCUCCCUAAUGUGUUUUCUCUUCUGCAAACCAAAUAAAUAUCCUUUCUGUUUAUGCUUCUUAUGUACCCUUUUGAGUUAGAUGACGCUCAUAGGCUUCUAAACACACCCCUUAUUCUUCUGACAUUCUCCCGCUCUGUCGUUCGCUACGGAGAAGAAACUAACGUCUGUUGGCGUAGCCUUUGAGUCUGGGUAGCCAGGCUAGUUUUGAAAGACCUGCCUGAAAACUGAAUAAGCCUAAUCAUCUACUCUGCUGACAUUGAUGCAGAUGCUGACUACUACUAGGGAAAAGAGCCCUGCCAUUGCCCCACCUGAGCACAUUUGUCAUCCCGACGACAUGCUUUCUGAGUCCCGACCUCAGCCUCCCGCUCCAACGCUGAUGGAAAACUUGCAGCAAAAACGCAAAAAGGUCAUUCUCAUCGUUCCAGUGGUUUGCCUCUGCAGGUUGAUGAAACAGAUACAACGCUUGUGAGUACUUCAUUAUUCAUUUGAAUCCAUAAAUGCAAUUAAUUAAGCUUAAGUGUGCAAUAAAUCUGAUUAGCCAGUCAGUUCCCAGAACACCAUAAAAUCCACACAGGUCUUAUUCCCUUUGAUUCAUUUGUGGAGAGGGCGGGGGCAAAUACGCAUGCAUACGUUAAUGUAUGCACACAAACACACACACAGUGCUUGACUAUGACUGACAUAUGUCCCAGUACUCAUUUUGGGUGCCGGUACAGUUUAUAUUUAGGUACAGGUGCUCCACAAUAAUAUUCUAUAACAGGAACAAGAGCUCUAGCAGUACUCUGCACCAGUGAGCUCCUGCCCAAGUCAAGCACUGUACACACACACACUCUCACACACACAAACAGAAUGGUAUACACACACUCACAUGUACACACACUCACAUGUACGCACACAAUAUGCAAAGAGCUAUUCAUUGGGGAUGAAAGAUAAGCUGGGAUUAAUGUAUGCUAAUAUUAAGGGGCACCACGAACAACAAAAUAUACAAGGUCAUCAGUAAACCUGAAGUGUAAUUAAUAGAUGGAAUUAGCAACGAAAACAAUAGGGCACUUCAACUGCUUAUUGAUAAAAAAUGACACGUUGGAAAGGAGAAUAGAAAUGGGCUUAUUAAAUGUGUUGACAGCAGUUGUCCCAAAAAUAAAGCUUGAAAAGAGUUUUUAAUGGUGCUGUGCGUUGGAUGCACCUUCCUUUCCUCUCUUUCGCCACUCUUUCCAUUACUCCAGUCUAUGCUGUUUGUAUGAUCCCUCAUUAUUUCUGAACACACUCCCUCUCUCUUCCUCCCUCCUUUCCUCCUCCACUCCUCCUUCCUUCUCCUCCCUCUCCCUGGCCAGUGCUCUCUGGGGAAAUUACCACAGCUCAGAAACGCUGUCCUACUGCACCGCACUGCUCCACUCUCCCCUCGGCCCAUACAACACACCACCAGCACUACAAUACACACACACACCCCUCCCUCAGUCGAUACAGUCCCCUAGGCCUGCUGCUGUAACCGGCUAUUCUGUAGAAGCUCUGCUUGUUGUUGUCCCCUGUAUAGAAAUUGAAUCAGUCACCCUGUAGCCAAGGUCCACUAUGCACUGCACAGGUGAACAGGCUCUGCCUCUCUCUCUUGCUCUCUCUCGCUCUCUCUCGCUCUCUAUUCCAGAUUCUAUUCCUCUCACUCUCUUUCACAUAUUUUAUUGGCCUUGCCCUCUGUUCUCUGGGUAAUGCACUGUAAUCUUUAUAAGGCCUAUAAUAAAAAAGGCUCUGUCCACCUGAUGGGUAUGGCAAUAUGCUUUCUAAAGUCCCUCUUCUCACAUUACAAUCGUAUGGCCCUCAGAGAAGAUGACAGUAUAGGUUAUAUGACAGCCCUACCACUACAGUAAAUGACUAGUUUCACGGUUUCUACAAAGCAUUACAUGGGCUUGCUCCUACCUAUCUCUCUGAUUUGGUCCUGCCGCACAUACCUACACGUACG